rnacentral:sRNA from 1 species
GGUGGUUAAUUAAUGUAUAUGAAGAUAAAAAGUGGGUUUGAAGAAUAGG